rnacentral:lncRNA from 1 species
AAACUUAUUCUUUUUUUUAGGCUUUAGUAUUUUACCGUUUUAUGCUAUUAAAAUGGAUCCUUUAAUUUUGUUCACAAAUCCAUCCUUUUUUUUUUUAGCGAAUUUUUAUUGGAUCAAUUUACUCUUUCAUUUUGAAUAAAUGAAAAUUAAUUAUUUUUGUAAAAAAAAAAAAAAGGUGAUAAGAAAUUUCUUGUAAAUAAUAGCAGUAAUAAGAAGGAGCCUCUAAAAAAAUAGUAAUAAGAAAUAAUUUUGCCAAAAAAAAAGAAAUGAACGAAUUUCUCUCUUAAAUUAAAUAUUUAAUUCCAUUCUUAUGAGUGACAUAAAAUACAUAUCGACUCUAUUUCAAAAAAAUAAAUACAUAAUCCACAAGUCCUAGCAUAACGGGUAAAAUGCCGAAAUUGCUAGGCCAUAUGUCAUGAUCGGGGUUCGAACCUCGAUACCUUCACUUGUGUGUGAGUUUAUAAUGACAAAAUCUAAAAUAAAAAAAAAAAAAAAAAUACAUAUGGACUCAUUGAGAGAGUUUAUAAUGGCAUGCCACAUGGACUCUAUUUUAAAGAGUUCAAUUGAUCGAGAUUAAUCGGGACCCAUAACCCACCAAUUAGGGGGUACCCUACAAUUAAAUUCUCUUCAAGUUCCAUCAGGUGGCCCUAGCAAUUACCACAAGACAAUACCAACCUGGCACCUGCUUCAUUUGUCAAUACCAAUUGUGAUUUUUCGGACUCCUUUUACUACUCAUAACUUAUUGAAACGAAGGAUCUCUAAGCUAAUCACAAACACUCUCAGAAGCAAAGACUUGUAACAAAACAGGAACACCCCACUUGAACGUGGUUCUGUCUCUUGCAUGAAGAACUAUAUGCAUCAUACAUAAAACUCCAAAUAUUACUUACCAAGUUACACUGGCGGAGCCAGAAAUUUUAUAGAGUCUGGACAAAAAAUUUAUUGCAGAACGUUACUUCUUUCCUGCGAAUAAUUUCACAUUUCCUGCAGAUAAUUUCACAUUUCCUACCGAUAAUUUAACAUUUCCUGCGGAUCUUGAAAUUUCUUGUACCAUAACGAAGAAUAUUUUCCUCCUAUUAGAUAUUAAUCAUAUAACGUGCGUGAUAUCUUUAUUUGGAUUGAAGUUGAAGCUUAGAGAUCCAAUGAAUUUAAGCCAGUCAUAGGGUCAACCUAGUUAUCCAAAAAAAUUAUCUUAUGGUCAAACCAAUAUUGCACAAUGUGGCAUGUUCUUAGAAUAGCCAACAUCCCAUUUGCUAAACCCUAGGGGCCUGCAUGCCUAGAAUUACGGGUUUAUGUACUCAUCUCUUACUUCCUUGUCUGUUUUCAAUCGAAACAAACAUUAUGUUUACUAUGCUUAGCCCAUUUCAUUUUCAUGGCGCCAUAAUCAUCAAUAUUGUAUGGGGAGUUUGGAAGGCACCAAAAACACUAAUGGACUAAUUACUAGAAUAGCCAAAACCCAUAAGAUAAGAAUAUCACAUCUUCAAUCUUGUGUUUAGAUGAGACUCUAACAUCAUUUGUCGGGGGUUCAGAGAGAAAGCACCAAAAAAUAAGAGACUAAUGACCAUGACGAUAAACAAGGGACUAAAACACAACAUCUUGUUGGGUUUAAGUGUUAAUUAGUCUUACCGAUAAUAAGUUAAAUGUUCGAUAUAUAAGAGAUGUGAUUCAAUUUUUCAAUGUGUUAAGAUUUUGGGUGAACAUGUCUUGGUUGUCUUAGCAUGUAGUUUUUGGAGCUUCCUGAGACUUGUCAAUAAGUGGCAUCAGAGUCAUAGUUCGGUUUAGUGGGGAGCAUAAGUGAUUCCUAUUGUAUUGCAUCCUUGUAUUGAACUUCCUCCUGACAUGUAGUUGCAAGACAUGUUUUGCUGGUUGUAACAUGCAAUUCAAAUAUAGGAUUAGGGAUACUCAAACUUAACAAGGGAAAAAUGGUUGGUCAGUUCAAAUGUGAGUGAUUAAUCCUAUUAGUAUUCUUGAUAGAAUAAAAAAAAUGAAAAUCACAUUGAUAAUGAGAAAAUAUUAAUUACAUCAAGAGAUACAAUAUUAGUCUUAUAUAGUCGAGGAAAAGUACAACUAACUAAUGUAACUAACUAGAAUAAUCAACUUUUACAUAUAAAGUCUCAUAGACUAUAAAUGUAUUUCAUAUGACGUUGAAUAUAUAAGAGAGAUUGUCCAUAUUUUUUAUAUCAAAUCUUGGUAUCAUAUUUAAUUACUCAUUAUAUCCCGUUGUUGGUCUUGACGCUCAUCAAACUCCCAAACACAUCUUAAUAUAAAACCUAUGAAAUUAUGUAUAUUAAUAUAUUCUUCUUUUAGAUCAUUUACAAUCGAUGUAUGACUAAACACAAUCACUUACAUUUUGAACAAACUACCAAUAUCAGUAUUCUAAGUUAUGGCACGAUUGCUAGAUAUCUCAAGUGAUCGAUCAAUCUUUUAGUGUGUAUAGAAGAUAAACAAAACCCUCAUGGAUAGAGAUUCGACUUCAUAUAUAAUUUAAGAUAAUCUUCUUAGUGUGUUAACUGUUAAUUUUACGCACAUUGUUUAUAGCUAAUAACGAUGGUAAAUGAUCACUGUUAAAUUCGGCUCAUUACAUUAUCAUCAUUUAUAAUAAAGAAAAUGGUCACGUGUAAUGCAGUUGAAGAACAUGUGAAAUAGGGGGAAGUGUAGGGUUUUGAAGUUAUUAUUACGGUAUGCUACAUAUCAUUUUCAAGGUAAAUUCAUGUAUCCACAGACCACGACAAAUAAAUAGUUAACCAUUAUUGUAAGAUGGAAAAGAAAACUAUUGGCCCCAAAGGAAGUGUAUCAUAGUAGAAAAGGACAAAAAGAUGGGCACAUGCUCACAUGAUUUAGCACAUGAAAAACUCUAUACCCCCCAGGGUUACGACAAGAACUCCCUGUGUGCUACGUUUAUGGUGAAUAUAUAUAAAUAUAUACUUCAACUAUAUUCUAUAUUUCCUUUAAAAAAAAAAACUAUAUUCUAUAUUUGACCCACCUCUUCUAUCAUGAUUCGUAUCUAUCUUUCAUAUAUUGUAUUUACUUCAAUAUACGUACUUUUGUCAUGCAAUGGUAGUUGCUCAUGUCUCAUGAUUUAAAUUUCCCAGGCUUGUUUUCUUUUUUCUUGACAACGUAUAUGAGCUUUUAAUUUGUAUAUAUUAAUGUACUAAUAAUCAUUGAGUACUUCAAUGAUUUACUAUAAUCAUUGAGUAAAUUAUCAUUCUUAUUAGCAUUUGAUUAUUAUAGCUAUCAUCAAUAAUUAAUCCAGACCUUCGGAGAGGAUGGUUCAAGCUAAUGGCGAGCAUAUAUAAAAAGAAGGGUAAUGAUAUCCAUGCACCGGGCAUGGUUAAGGAACAAUAAAAUUAAUUGAUUUCACUUAAUUUACUUUAAUUAAAGUGAAAAGUUGGUCAACUUAAUUAAAAUAGAAAUAGUUGUAUUCAAUACUCAUUAAACUCCAUCAAUAUGAUUUUGUAUUUCAUACUUUAAUUUGAUAUAUUUUAUCUUUGUAAUUGCAAAUUUAUUUUGGACUAUAUGAUGUUUGUCUUAUUUUAAUUAUUUCUACAACUUUUAAUUAAAAAAAAAAAAACAAUAGUUUUUUUCACCGAAAAAAAGUCAUGGAAAAAAAUUGGUUUGAGUAUAGACUUUUCAGUGAAUUUGCAAGAAAAAAAUGAUUAAAAAAAAAUCACAGGAAGCUCUAAAGAGUAUUAAAUGCAGCGUUUUUCUAUUUUAAUUAAGUUGAUAAACUUUUCACUUUAAUUGAAUGAAAUUAAAUAAGACAUAUUAAUAUUAUUGUUCCUUAACCGGCCGGUGCCCACAAGGCACGGGUUAGCAACACCCAAAAAAGAAUUACAUACACUAAACCUUUGAUGUUUCAAUUAAUUAAUGGCGAAUGUUCAUAAAUAAAAGGCAACAUUGCUUCAAGUAAUUAAAAUAGCUUGUCAGUUGCACAUGAUUUAAUCUGGUUCGUAAUUUCGUAUAUGGUGUGAGUAACACUUAUCUAGACUAGACACCUAUUUAUUUUUUUACGGUGUCCUUUGCCAAUAAGGUGGAAGUGAAUGUUUGUAGAGAUUAAUCUAUCAACACAGUUGAGUCUAAGAUUUAUUGAAGGAGUUGACUUCUCCAUACAAAUAUUUUGUUUAUACUUAUUGAAGAUAAAUCUCCUGACUAAAAAUGAUUAAGGUCUAAAACAUAGAUUAAAUGCUUAAUGUCAUGUGUCACGAUAUAUUGCACAUGUCAUGCAAAUAACAUAAAUCAAUGAUCAUUCUUUUAAAAAAAAAAAAAACAUAAAUCAACCAUCAUCAUCUGUCUUGGGAAUUAAUCUCAAAUUAAUUGUAUGAAUUUACGACAAUAUAUACUCAUUGUGUUCCAUAAUAAGGCGCACAUACUUAUAUCUUAAAGCCAUUCUCUUAAGGUUGAAUUGAUUAUUUUGAACAUUUCUCUUAAAUGAGUACAAGAUAUAUGAUUUUUUUCCUACCAUUAUUUUCCGGACCAAUUUUAUGGUGUACAACAAGUAAAACAAGUCUUGCAUUAUACACAAAUUGGUUUUCACCAUUUGAUCAAUAAAUCUUACAAUUAGAUCAAAUGAAAUAUGAUGCGACUUAUUGGUCUAAUAGUUAAAAAUACUUGCAUGAUACAAGACUAUUUUACCUAGAUACAUUAGACAAAACUUAUUUUGCAAUUCAAAGCGGGGAGCAUGCAAUUUCAUCACGUUAUUGUCAUAUGUUCAAUCUCAUAUGUUUACAAGGAAAAUGGCGAGGGGACCUAUCCUUUUAUCUUUUUAUGUAAGGUUCUACUCAUUCUUUCAUUAAUAGUCGCAAGAUACCAAAUAAUACAUACAUCUCCACAAAGAGUUGAAAUUGUUUCAUCCAUCGUGAAUCCAUUCAAUUAUAUAUAUGCUACACUAUUCAAAUGUCAAAACAAACUCAUCAUCAUGUGAUGUGCAAUAUGUUUUGAUCACAAUUUUGAUAUUCCAUAACUCGUCAAAAAUCGAUUCAGCCACUUUCUAAUAAAUCAAUAUAACACCAACUCUUAAAAAUAAAAUUAUAAGAUAAGUAAUGCAAAUAUUUAUCACUUGUGUUUCAAUGUGUUGGAAAUUUGAGUUGAAAAUUAGUAUACACAAAAUUGGCAUAUAAAAAUCUUACCUAGGAAUCCCGUGAUAUGUAUAGAGAGCUAGCUAACUAGCUAGUCUGCUCUAAAAUUUAUAAAACAACAAGUAAGGAGGCGUAAGGCUUAAAUUAAAAUGCUUUGCAGCAUUGAAAUAGUUAAAUAAAAAGCUUAUAAUAGCCAAUUUAAAAUUACACGCAUUUUUCUUAUUUAAAACAAAAGAACAAAGGAGCUAACAACAUUGGCAUAGUCCGUGAGUUCAUUCCUAGCUUACAACUUGGUAACUCAUGACACAUAUAGUCUAUAGAGAAAAGAAUUAGAAAGUGAAAUUUUUGACAAAUGAUCAUGUGAUGAUUGAAAAAAAAGAGACCGAUAAAAAGAUAGAUGAGGCUAGUUAGCCUGUAGUAUGAAUUGUGUUAAUUAAAAAGUAUUAAAAAUUAGGUUCAAAGUUUACUUCUAACUAGCCUUGCUAUGACUAUAAAAAAAAUAUUGUAAAAGACGUAACGCAAUUUAUCAUUUUUGUUCGUAAAUAUGAGAUGUGGUGUAAUGUAGUUUUUGAAUGUAUUGAAAUUCUGUAAAUACCUAUAAGUGUUUCUUUUGUUAGUAAUUUUACAAAUUAAAUUGAUUAAACAAAAAACACAUUUGAAGAUCAAUUCAUUAAAGGAAAAAUACAUUCAGAGAUAUUUUUGUAACUUUAAUACUUUUAAAUAUUACAAUAACAACGUUUGACACAUUGAAAUACCGAAUACUUGUUUCUCAAUGUAUUAAUGAAUACCAUAACACUAAAACUAUCUCCUUACUUCAAUUAUUUUUUGUCGAUUGGAUUGGUUUUUUAUACUUAAUUAUUAUUAUGAGUUUCUCAAUGAGCAUAAAAUAUUUCAUAUUAAGAUUAGAAUUAACACAUAAGUUUGGCGCCCUCGAAAAAAUUAAGCUUUCACCACUAGCUGCUAACUAAUCUUCACACCUCUAAUAAGUUAACAUUAACAUUUGCUUAUAAAAAAAAAAAAAAAACAAAGAAAGAAAGAGGAGGGAGGUUAAAAAAUUGAGUAAACUCACACAGAUGCAUUUCUUGACGGAAAUGAGCAAAAACAGAUGGUAGAAGAGGAAUCUUUUAAAAUUUUGUGAGAAAAAGAUAGUGCAAACUUAUCUCUUAUUUAUUAUUAAAUUAACAAACAAUAUUGGUGGGGGGGCCUAACCUUGUACCAAUUGCCAAUUGGAGUAUCUAAUAGCUAAGUGAAAACUGGCAGAAAACAAGGUGCAUUUAGAUCUCUACUUACAAAACUCUAUAAAAGGGGAAGUCCUUGUAUGGAUAUCCAAGCACAACAUACCAUCUAUAGCUAGCAUCUUAAAUUUCUAAUUUUGUUUCAUUGUUCUUCAAAUCAUUCAAAAGAACAUUAUGGUGUCUAAAGUAGAAGAAGCAAUGAAGAAGAACAAGCAACAACAAUCACAACAACACAAUCAACAACAACAAAAACAAAUUCAAUGCAACAAAGGAAAAGCUGGAAAGUUCAAAAGGAGUAGUUCCAAUGUGGAAGAGGAUGGUCUUUCUUCUGCAAUUCUUUUUCUAGCUUGCAUAGCUUGUGCUCCUUCCUAUGGAUAGCACUCACAAUUCAAUAAUGCAUUCCUUAAUUAAUUAUCAUUUCCUAGCUCAUCUUCAUCUCUUAUCUUCUUCACACCUCUCAUUAAUUAGAAAAUUAGAUUAAUUACAUUCAAUUAUCUCUUUGGUUUUUUUUUUUUUUUCAGCACUUAAUUAUCUCUCGAAUUUGCAUCUUGUCUAUAAACUAUGGUCUUAGAAAUUAUAGUAUAGCCUUUAAAGUUUAAACAAUAUAUAGUUUCAUGUCAUUAUUAUUAUUAUUUCUUAGUAAGUGUACCCUUAAUAAUUCAGUAUUAAUUGUAAUUCAUUUGUGCAACAUCUCUAUUUCAGGUAUUGUAUAAUUUUUUUCCACCACAGCAAAUAUAUAGUUUGUGAUAUUAUUUUUAUAAGCAAAUAUUUAUUGAAAAGAGAGCAAAGGGUACUCAAAUUUGAUUACAAGAGGAAAAUCAAGCAUACUCUAAACAUGAAAUAUGAUUGUUCCACCAGUCUAAAAACAAGUUACUCUUCUCCUUCCCUCUCUUACUAAUAAGCCAAAGUUAAGAAAUCUUCUUGAUUAUGUCAGCAAGCAAAUUAUACCUCCUUUUGUUUUUGAGUCUUGUUGGUUUAUUUUAGUCUCU